AGAGGUGGCAAUGAUUUAGGUCUCUGUAUUCCCAACAUUCACAGAAAACCCAUCACAAACAGGAAAAGAACACGACCUAAUGUGAAUGCAGGCCAACUCCAGUCCAUCCUGACUUCUCUAAGUUCUCAAAGGAAUUAGAGUAAGUUAUAGGACAAGUCUACAUACUGCAAGCUUAUAAAACAUGGGCUCUUUGAGUGGACUUCCUUUGAAGGCUCAGCACAAAAUAUUCAAAAUUGUAUCUCAACAUCAAAGCAAGUUUUCCCUUGAAAUAUACAUAUUUCACAGU
rnacentral:lncRNA from 1 species